GACGAACGCUGGCGGCGUGCCUAAUACAUGCAAGUCGAACGCACUCUCGUUUAGAUUGAAGGAGUUUGCUCCUGAUUGAUAAACAUUUGAGUGAGUGGCGGACGGGUGAGUAACACGUGGGUAACCUGCCCUAAAGUGGGGGAUAACAUUUGGAAACAGAUGCUAAUACCGCAUAAAACCUAAUACCGCAUGGUGUAGGGUUGAAAGAUGGUUUCGGCUAUCACUUUAGGAUGGACCCGCGGUGCAUUAGUUAGUUGGUGAGGUAAAGGCUCACCAAGACCGUGAUGCAUAGCCGACCUGAGAGGGUAAUCGGCCACACUGGGACUGAGACACGGCCCAGACUCCUACGGGAGGCAGCAGUAGGGAAUCUUCCACAAUGGACGAAAGUCUGAUGGAGCAACGCCGCGUGAGUGAAGAAGGUUUUCGGAUCGUAAAACUCUGUUGUUGGAGAAGAAUGUAUCUGAUAGUAACUGAUCAGGUAGUGACGGUAUCCAACCAGAAAGCCACGGCUAACUACGUG
rnacentral:rRNA from 1 species